rnacentral:rRNA from 1 species
UACGAAGGGGGCUAGCGUUGCUCGGAAUCACUGGGCGUAAGGCGCACGUAGGCGGAUUGUUAAGUCAGGGGUGAAAUCCUGGAGCUCAACUCCAGAACUGCCUUUGAUACUGGCGAUCUUGAGUCCGGGAGAGGUGAGUGGAACUCCGAGUGUAGAGGUGAAAUUCGUAGAUAUUCGGAAGAACACCAGUGGCGAAGGCGGCUCACUGGCCCGGUACUGACGCUGAUGUGCGAAAGCGUGGGGAGCAAACAGG